rnacentral:rRNA from 1 species
UACGUAGGGGGCAAGCGUUGUCCGGAUUUAUUGGGCGUAAAGAGCUCGUAGGUGGUUCGGUAAGUCCGCUCUGAAAGUCCGGGGCUCAACCCCGGGAGGCGGGCGGAUACUGUCGGGCUAGAGUCCGGAAGAGGCGAGUGGAAUUCCUGGUGUAGCGGUGAAAUGCGCAGAUAUCAGGAGGAACACCGGUGGCGAAGGCGGAUCUCUGGGCCAUUACUGACGCUGAGGAGCGAAAGCGUGGGGAGCGAACAGG